UACGGGGGGUGCGAGCGUUGUCCGGAAUUACUGGGCGUAAAGCGCGCGCAGGCGGCUAUCCAAGUCAGUGGUGAAAGCCCGGAGCUCAACUCCGGAACUGCCAUUGAAACUGUUUAGCUUGAGGAUGAGAGAGGUGAGUGGAAUUCCCAGUGUAGAGGUGAAAUUCGUAGAUAUUGGGAAGAACACCGGUGGCGAAGGCGGCUCACUGGCUCAUUACUGACGCUCAGGCGCGAUAGCGUGGGGAUCAAACAGG
rnacentral:rRNA from 1 species